GACGAACGCUGGCGGCGUGCUUAACACAUGCAAGUCGAACGAAGUGGCGAACGGGUGAGUAACGCGUAAUCAACCUGCCCUUCAGCGGGGGACAACAGUUGGAAACGACUGCUAAUCCCGCAUACUGAAGGAGGGGAUUGCGUCUGAUUAGCUAGUGGGAGGGGUAACGGCCCACCAAGGCGAUGAUCAGUAGCUGGUCUGGGUGGAUGAACGGCCAAAUUGGGACUUGGACACGGCCCAGACUCCUACGGGAGGCAGCAGUGGGGAAUCUUCCGCAAUGGACGAAAGACUGGCGGAACAACGCCGCGGGGGUGAUGACGGCCUUCGGGUGGUAAAGCUCUGUUAAUCGGGACGCGGUACCGGAAUAGAAAGCCACGGCUAACUACGUGCCAGCAGCCGCGGUAAUUC
rnacentral:rRNA from 1 species